rnacentral:rRNA from 1 species
GACGUAGGGGGGCCAGCGUUGCUCGGAAUUACUGGGCGUAAAGGGUUCGUAGGCGGUGUGGCAAGUCGGGAGUGAAAUCUCCAGGCUCAACUUGGAGGCUGCUUCCGAAACUGCCGCGCUAGAGUGCGAGAGAGGCCAGUGGAAUUGCAGGUGUAGCGGUGAAAUGCGUAGAUAUCUGCAGGAACACCCGUGGCGAAGGCGGCUGGCUGGAUCGCAACUGACGCUGAGGAACGAAAGCUAGGGGAGCAAACAGG